rnacentral:rRNA from 1 species
CUACGGGGCGCUGCAGUCGAGAAUCUUCCGCAAUGCACGAAAGUGUGACGGAGCGACGUCGCGUGAUGGAUGAAGCACUUAGGCGUGUAAACAUCUUUUAUGAGGGACGAAGUUUAUUGACGGUACCUCAUGAAUAAGGGGCUGCUAAUUCCGUGCCAGCAGCAGCGGUUACACGGAAGCCCCAAGCGUUAUCCGGAAUCACUGGGCGUAAAGGGUGUGUAGGCGGUUGUAUUAGUCUCUCGUUAAAUCCAUGGGCUCAACCUAUGGCCUGCGAGGGAAACGGUAUAACUUGAGGAUGUGAGGGGUGUAUGGAACUCAUGGUGUAGGGGUGAUAUCCGUUGAUAUCAUGGGGAACGCCGAAAGCGAAGGCAGUACACUGGCACAUUCCUGACGCUGAAACACGAAACCCUGGGUAGCGAAUGGGAUUAGAUACCCCUGUAGUC